AAUAAAAUGGCUGAGAUUUAAGCGAUAAAUUGUAAAUUUAUUUACGAGAAAAUAUUCUCUUUUAUUA
rnacentral:tRNA from 1 species